AGGGACUCAAUUGCGAAAAUAAACCAUUGGAAUAAAAAAAAACCAAUUUAUGGCCAUUAAACGGCACCACUUUUCUUUAAUAUUAAAAUAAAAAAAUUUCCUUUAAAAAAAACAUCUUUAUUUCAUUUUCUUUAAAGAACAGAGGAAAAAAAAAGGGGGGUUCUCUGUUAGGGUUUUCCUUUACCCAAACCCCCUAGCCGCCGCAACCACCUCAGCGGCCUGAAGCCUCCUUCCGGCUUCAAUUCGGGCAGAAUCCGUCGUCUCCUCCUCGCAGGUAACUUUCUCUUUUUCUUUUCGUUUAUUUAUUUUUAAGAAACGAGCAGAAAAUAAAAAACAGUAAAAAGAAAAUAAGAGAGAAAAAAAGAGCAGAACUGAUCACCUUCAAAAAAUUUCUCCUCCGAUUCUAUACUCGUAUUUCUUUAAUAUUUCAAUACAAUAUUUUGCUAACCCCUGUUACAGAAAUCGACUAGCUUUUUAUAGCCAAAACCAUUUACAAUUUGCUGUAUCUAUCCUAUUAGUGUUGCUCGAGGUUUAUUUGUUACAGGUACGGGCAUUGUGCGCGGCGUGGAAUGAGAACGUGCGACGGUUAUUGUGACGUGCGUGGGGUGCGGCUGUUGAUUUUUCUGCUAGCUGCUAGGGUUUCUUUCUGCCUCUGUUUUGUAUUUUGGGCUAGCAGAUUAGGGUUUGCAAUUUGGGCCUUAUUGGGUCGAAUUAUUUGGGCUGCAUAAAUGAUUUUUUAACCAGGCCAAAAUUGGCCUAUUACAAUUAUAAUGGUAAUAUAAUUCACAUCAUAAAAAGAAUGAGCCAUAGGUAUAAUUAACUUCAAGGUUGUCUCAAUGCUCUUUGUCCAGAAACCAAAUUCGUGGUUCAAAACACAAGGAUUUUCACUCAUUUAAGAGAAAAAUAGUGAAUUAUAUCAUGUAAAAUAACCAACUUCUGGACACUUGAUAUAUAUGAGAUCCAACUUCUAGGCCAUUGCCAAGCAAUAACUGCAAAGAAAGUUCAAGAGUUUUUCACAAAGUGGGACCUUUCAUCACUGAUGAUAGACCUUAGAGUUUCAAAUCUUAUGAACACAUGCUUUUGUAAAAAC
rnacentral:lncRNA from 1 species